rnacentral:rRNA from 1 species
UACGUAGGGUGCAAGCGUUGUCCGGAUUUACUGGGCGUAAAGAGCGCGCAGGCGGUCGUUCAAGUCGCGUGUGAAAGCCCCCCGGCUCAACUGGGGAGGGUCACGCGAUACUGAUCGACUCGAAGGCAGGAGAGGGAAGUGGAAUUCCCGGUGUAGUGGUGAAAUGCGUAGAUAUCGGGAGGAACACCAGUGGCGAAGGCGACUUCCUGGCCUGUUCUUGACGCUGAGGCGCGAAAGCUAGGGGAGCGAACGGG